GGAAACCUGUCUGUCGCCUGACACUGGGCAUGGUGUCCCUUCUGGCUUCAGUAAAUCAAUCAGCCCGGGGCCUCCUGCUGGCUUCUGGACAUAGAAGAGCUGGAUCCUUCACUCCUGAUGUUUAACACAAAGACAGGUCUCCAGCUGUCCUCGGAUCAGGUCUGGCCUAGGUUGCAGGCCCAGUGCACUCCACUGGGACACUGAUGUUGGCACUGUGCAAGCCAAAGCUGUUCACCUCAUGUACUGUCUUCACUGAUCUCAGAAGCACGAUGUCCUGAGCCAGCGGCCACUGACGGGCUGCCUUUCACCUAUGCGAGGCCUUGGCUGCGAUCAUGCUUCCCACCAGACUUGAAACAUCAUCUCACAGAAGUGGAAACUGAGGCACCCGGAACACCGGCAACUGUCCAACUGUCACCCUCCAAGCCUGCAAGUGGCCGGUCAUUCUCUCACCUGGCAUUCUGAUCCUUCAGGAGGCAACUGGUAUAGGCCAGAGCAGAUGGAGCAAGCCCAGGAGGGCACCAGCUGUCCACACCCUGCCACCGAGCCUGUUGCCCUCACACGUGUGUGUCCACGUCCCACACCCCAACCCCACCGGCUGUGACAAGAUGCCAGCUCGUCCCCGACUCUGACAAGCGCCUUCGAUCCAGUCUCUCUCUCAAUGCUAAUGGCUGUCAACAUGAAACAGAGGCUGUGAAGGGGAAGAAAAUUACUCCCUGAAAAGGAAUUGACUGAUCCCCAUCAUUUCUCAAGGAAUCACUGACCUGUGAAUAUUUCAUUACCCAAAAUGCCGCACCAUCCAUACAAAGCAGCCACCGCUGUGGUGCAGCCCCGUGAGCGCCGUCUGAGGUCGCAGUAGAGGGUGGACCUGGUGGGCGAGCAGCUGUGGGGCAGGUGUGUCCUGGAUGGCUGGGGCUCUGGGUUCACCCAAGGUGUGACAUGACCAAUAUGCCCAGCCAGAGCACGGGGAGCCAGACUGCUCUGUGUUCCACUGCCUCUCCUUCCGCCAGGCUGUGCCCAGACUCAUCCAGGGAAGCCCUGGAGAGACAGGUGCCUGCCAGGUGCCAGCAGGCAUUAGGGGAGCCUCUGCGGUUUGGGGUGGUGCUGGCUAACACUCCCUGUCGUGCUUGGAGUUGCUGGGUCUCCCGAACUCCCUGAGCCCUGCUGCUAUUCCCCAGGAUCUCUUGUCCUUGGGUGGGUCCACACUAGCUGAUCGUAGGAGCUCAUGCUGUCCUGCACCCCUGCUGCUAUGGCACACAUGACAGCUGAAGAGAGGGUAUAACUGAACGCCAUUGGCCCCACAGCCAAGAGGAGGGCUCAGAUCCUGCCUCGGCCCUGUCAGGCCUGUCAGCCCUUGUGCCCCUAAGAGCCCGCAGGCUGAAGCAGCAUCUCUCUGACUUUGACCUUUUGACCCUAAACCAAAGCUGAUAAUGGGGUCUCCCCAUAGGUGACUGAUUAUGACACUGAAUGAGAUCCAACCUCGGGAGGAUCUUGGGGAGGUGUUCACUAAGCGGAUGAGCCGGUCAGAAGGCUCUGUCCCCAGCUCAAGUUUCAGGGACAGCAGAGCCAAGAGACCCUUUCUCACGAGGCUCUCUCAGGCUCCAGGGGCCCAGGAAGACCAGAGUCCUGAGAAUGGAAAGGCUGAGACUGAAAGUAUCAGGGGGAAAAAUCUGGGCCUUCUAUAGAGACUUCAGAGGGCUGGACAAGAACUCCAUUCAGGGGCUGGAAAGAUGACUCAGCGGUUAAGAGCACUGACUGCUCUUCCGAAAGGCCUGAGUUCAAAUCCCAGCAACGACAUGAUGGCUCACAACCAUCAGUACAGCUACAGUACUAAUAUACAUUAAAAAAAAAAGAAAGAAAUCCAUUCAGAAAAGCCCAAUAAUAAAACCAACUUGCCCUGUGGGGUUUCAACUGGAUAGAUCCAAGCCCUGACUCUGGGGUUGCCACCAUACAAUGCCAGGGCACCCUGAAGCUCAAGAUAGU